GAGGACCGGGCGGGGAGGAGGCGAGAGGCCAGGGAGGAGAGGAGGGAGGCAGCUCGGCAGAGAGGGAAGGGAAGGGACGGGACGGGACCCGACCCGGCGCCCUGCGGGCCAUGCGCCUCCUGGCCACGGCGCUGGCCGCACUGCUGGCCACGGCCACGGCCCCAGAUGUUUGUGAGGCUUUAAAUGUGACAGUCUCUCCAGGACCAACAGUGCGAUACUUGGAGGGAGAUAAUGCUACCCUUUACUGCCACAUUUCUCAAAAGAGAAAGACAGAAAAUUUGCUGGCUGUGCGGUGGGUAUUUGCUGCGUCACCUACCCAGGAAUAUCUGAUGAUCAAAAUGACGAAGUUUGGGUCUGUCCAAUAUUAUGGAAAUUAUACUCAUCAUUUCCACAAGCAAAGACUUCAUCUUCUUAAAGAAAAACACGGAACUAUGUACAAAUUUCUUAUUCUAAGCCUCCAGGAAACAGAUCAAGGACAUUAUAUAUGCAAAGUCCAGGAAAUUGGCAAACACAGGAAUAAGUGGACGGCCUGGUCAAAUGGCACAGCAGCUACCGAAAUAAGAGUGAUUUCUUCAAAAUCUUCUAAUGAUCCCACUUUCAAGAAAAACCAUGAAACUUGGAAGUUUUUUGAAGAUCUGUAUGUAUAUGCAGUGUUUGUGUGUUCUAUAGGAAUCAUCAGCGUCCUCCUAUUUACACUUGUCAUUCUCUGUCAGUCACUUCUGAACAAGAGGAGAUCCACAGUGAAGCAUUACCUGGUGAAAUGCCCCCAGAACAGCUCCGGGGAGACAGUUACCAGCGUGACAAGCAUGUCCCCUCUACAGCCCAAGAAGGUGAAGAAAAAGAAAGAGAAACUGGAGCAGCCACCAGCCAUCCCAGCAAAAGCUCCAAUAGGCAAUAAUUUUCCUAAGCCCAAGCUCUUGAAACCUCAGAGAAAAUUGAUCCUGGUUUCAGGAGUGCAUUUCCCAUUGUACAACAAACCAACCAGCCCCAUUGUAUAUCAGGACGAGUGACCUUGGCGGUCUCUUUUGGGAAAAGGGUCUAGAUGUGCAAGUGAAUUAUCUGCAGUCUGGUUUCCAUGUCAGAGCUGUGAAAUUUUAAAGGGCUGCUUUUGGGUUUUGAUUGCUGGGAAAUUUGCGCCUUCUAAGCUGUGCUCCAGGCUGCUGUCCUGCAGCUUCAGCCUCACAGCAGGCCGGGAGCAAAUUUAUACAUUGCAAGAUUGUACUUGAUGAACACGUUGACAUUUACCCCGUCUUCUUUUUCAUCUUAUAAUUAAGUACUGCAUCAUUCAAGCCAGUCUUAUAUGCAUCAAGCUAGCUAGGAAAGGUAGGCUAGUCAGCUUUUUGCACAACUAGCAGGGUUCCUCAUUAGUCUUAGCUCAUAGGUGCUGUUGGCCCUUUCUUUGAGAAAGGAAAAGGAAGCUGAAAUACAUCUGUUCAGUAAUUUGUGGAUUCUGGAUCUGGAACAAUCAGGUCUUCCUUUCUCCUGGAUGAUUUUAAAUUAAAAGCUAUGCCACCCUCUGUUAGAAGAGUUGUUUCCUCCACAGUACAUAACAACGGGUGAUGAUUUAAGUUCCCAAUUUCUUAAGGCAAUAUUGAUCUCCACAGACUUCAAGUAACAUUGUACAUAUGAUAUACAAAGGAGCGGUGAACAUUUCUUUCCUUGGCUCCCUGUGAUUCCUGAAUAUUUCCAUUCAGUCUAUAUAAUUUCUCUCUCUGCGAGAUGAAUAAUCCCUCCCCCCGCCACCCUCCCCAGUCUCUCCUUAGGAUGUGAGAUGUCCAUAGGAACAUGAAUAUCAUUUACACAUUCAGGCUGACACUCAGAACACAACACAUUCAAAACUACUGAGUUAUGCCUGCUUUCCCAUCCAGACCACAGGUUGCUAUCUUUACCCCCAAGAAGGAACAGUUUGUAUAAAUACAUAAAAUCUCUUGCUGGAAUUGUGCCAAGACUUGUGUAUUUACAAAAUCCCACAGCAGAUGAUUUUUGUGUGAUGACACAUUUUCAAUAAUAAAAGUGUCACUAGAGAACUGAAAACCUUUAAUUACUUCCUUGGGCCUUUUCGAAGGAUAAGAAGAAAUCACCCUGAUUUCCAGCAGUGUUGGGUUAGAAUCUAGGAAUAACUCUGCAACUGUAAAAGGAAUAAAGCAUUAGCAAAGGUGAAUAUGUUCUUCCCCAGAAGCUGUUAAAACAGGCUGGACAAACCUCUGCCAGGUAUAUUUGAUUUUGUUAAUUUAGAUGGACUGGCUCACCCCUUAGCAUCAUUGCCUGCCCUACAUUUGUGGGAUUUUGUUUCUUUAAAAUAAAAUCAUUCAAUGGGACUUAGUAAAUCAUCUUUGUCUCUGACUUUUUCAUCAUAACUUCUGUGGGAUUCAAUAGCAAAAUUUAGAUGCAAUGCUGAAAGCGGCUUCACAAAUUGUAGAUAUUUUUCUCAUGGAGUCUGGGAAGUAUUUUUUACUCUAGGGAGUAAAAAAUAGGCAUCUUAAGGGAAAGAACCUGUCCUUUUUUAACUGAUAGUGCCACUAAAAGUCAUGCUUCCUACUCACCACAUUUUCCAAUGUCACAUUUCUCAGCUUUGGCAGUGAGAAGGCAACGGCUCCCUUGAUAUUUCAGCACUCUUACUGGCCAGCAGUUGCAUUUCUAAGGGAUAGCUCUCAUCUUGCAGAUCUAGCUUCAGGUUGUCAUGAAGAUCAGCAGAAGUAAUUUUUGAAGCUACUCUCUUUGAGGGGAAUCUCUCUGGCCUUCUGCCUGCAAUCAAGACACUGACACCAGUAAACACCCAAAGCUCUAAAGAGAGAAAAAGCAAAAGAUCUCUUUCUGACUCCCAAGUUAAGUUACUGCCUUACUGAGGGAGCCACCCCACUGAAGUUCAUAGAGUUUAAACAUAAAGUGUAUCUAAGCCCCUGAGGAGCACUACUGCCUUCAGCGCAAGAAAGACUAUACAUUCUAGAGAGGGGUUUUCCAGUGUAUUUUUAAAAAAAUGAAUCUUUUUCUCUCUGAACCUACAGUGAGUUUUCUCACUAUUAACUUUGCAAAAUCCCGCCUGACCCUACUACUAGCAUGUGCUGCCUCCCUGGUGGCCCAGAGAAGGAAGUUGCAGCCCGCCCACCACACAUGCCGAAUCUUUGUUUCAGCACACUGUUGCCUUCACCUCUGUAACUGACCCACCGAUGAUGGCCAAGCUGCCAGCUAUAUGCUGCCCUCUCCCACAGCUUCAAAAAAAGAUGCUUAUAAAAAUGAGACAUAGAGAGGAGAAGAAGGGCUAGCCCCUUUUCCUUAGGCUAUAUGCAGUAUGUAGUUUCCUCCCAUCUGGGCAUGCAUGCAGAGAGAAGCAACACUGUCUCUGUGGCCAAAGCCCAUCCGGUUGGCCUGGACAGUCCUGUCUCGACCCUUUCUGACUGAGUGUGCUCAGGCAGUGACAUAGGAUGUUCAUGAGCUCUGCCAUCUGGACAAUACCCACAUUUUUCCUGUGGACCCCUUUAGCAAGUGUGACUACAAAGCAGACUACAAACCAAAAAUUUCUCAAAUAUAAAAAGGAAAAGACCAAAGAUUAGAGUUUGGCCUUUGCAAGAAGAAGGAAGAGAAAAUAUGGUAGUUUCAGCAAGUGCUUGCUAGGAGAGCUACUUCAUGGCACUGAGCCAGGGCUGCUUACUUUGUGCUGUGGGGUAACCUGGAGAGAAGUCCAGCUCUUAAGAGUCUGGAUGAAACAAACCUCACCACCACCUCUUGACUCUAUCUUUCCCAUUUACAUUUCCUAUAGCAUCCCCUUAGUACCGCAUUGUGCACCAAACAGCACAGCAUGGCCACUCCAUAGGUGGCAGUCUGCCAUGUACUGGCAAUCAAAUCAGCAAACAUACGUACAACUGGCAAGGUUUUAUCCUUGCUGGCCUAAUCCGUUCACCCACAAGCGUAGACCAUACCAGUGAAGGAAGGGUUUCACUUUCAAGUGUUGCUGCAGGAGAUUUGAGUUAUUAAAGAUAUUAUGAAGCUUUGACUGGAACUUGGGACACAGGCUUGUUAAAUGCAGAAAACUCAUUUUUCUGCAUUCAGAAAAUUCAGGUGAAAAUUCAUUUUGGUUUAUAAACCUAAUUUUCUCGCCCUGGUCCCAUGUUAAAGUCAUUCUGCAUCAUACCCCCAAAAACCCCUUCUAUCACAUGUGAUCAUAUAGAGACCGAAUUCCAAGGCAAAUGUCUGCAGCAAUAGUCACUAAAAUAUUUUAAACUGAAGUGAAUUAGGAAGUGAGCCUUUUUCUGCUUAUUUUUGAUAGUAAACUAGAAUUAGGGAAAAUAUAUAUUUUUUUAAAUUUAGAAAUUCACAUUCGUUGUGUCAUCUUCAUUAUAACUGGUGUGGUCAUGGAACACUGAGAUUGCAGCAAUCCAUAAGUGUAAGUUGGCAUCAGUUGUUUUUCCAGACAAGUUAAAUUUAUGAGGUUAUUAUAUGCUUGUUUACUUCAUAUCUAAUUACAAAUCUGGACAAAAGUGGUCAUAGUUAAAACUUCAGAAACUUUUGGUCUAACUGCAGAAAACAUCCUUGAGGCUGCCAAAACACAAACUAGAUAAGCCUAAGAAGAGCAAAAUAGAGAUUCCUGGUCAUUAUGACAUCAAAAUCAGAGUAAUUUUCAUUUAAACCCCAAUGCUUCUAGGUAAUUUCUAACACAUUUAUAUACUGCACAAACCCAAUAAAAACAAAACUAUGUAUACACAUACUUCAGUUUCUUUUAAAUAUUCACAUGAUAGACACUGCAGGUUGUUCAUUAAGAAAAAUGUUCCCAUGAGUGAACUUGUUCAACUAGUUGCCCACGGUAAGCCCUGUGACUGGAAGAAAUCUGGAAGAGGAAUAGUUUUAAGAUAUACUGGAAAAUGGUGACUCUUCCUAAUUUAUAUUUCUGCAAAGCGUAUGAUCCCAAGAUGAGAAAACAGACAUACAAGAUAAAGACUGUAUGUAGAAAUGUUACACUGGAAUAGAAUUGCAUUUAAAGAAAUAAUUUCAAUGUUAUUUUAGAACAACAAUGUAAUUUUUCAGGAAAGGAUGUUGUAGCCAUAUAAAUCACAAAGACCUCCUAAGUGAAGAGCCAGGAUCGAAAGAGAGAGGUGAACGACCAGUCAUUCACUGCCUCUUCCUCUUCUGCCUUACUAUCAGUUCCAUCUAUAACAUCACUUAUUAAAGUCACGCUAUUGUUCCAAAAAGGAGGUGGUGGCAUGGUUCCAGGUUUACACUGCCAAAAUGUUAUCCAAUCCAAAUGAGAAAUGAAAUUGUAGAAUUAGUUUUCUUCCCUUGUCUGUUCAAAAAAAUUGGUUUUGGACAAACAAACCAGCAAAAUUACAUUAAACAUGGUUGAUAAAUGAAGUACAGAAGAGCGCAUGGAAUAAAACCCUGGCUACCAUAGGUACUUUAAAGUAGUGUUGGUUCCAUGCACUGUUAUUACGCAUCCUUUGCUGCAAACUGUAUACCUUUCACAAUUUUGAACCUCCUGUGUGUUUCCUUAUAUUUUCAAUCAAAUUAUUACAUACUAGAAAUAUGCAUAAGGGAAAUUAUUCUACACAUUUUAUGGUGUGCUGUUGCUUGUAGCAGUAAUUGAAGUACCUUUUCCACUUAUGAAAGUACUAAUUUUAUUUGGUUUUAUUGCUUUUCUAGAUGCAAUUAUUUAUUUAGUGUGUUUUGGCUUUAUUAAAUUAUGUUUACUAUAGGAACAUCAUAAAAAUGUAUGAAAGCAACACAUCAGCCACUACUGCCCAAUGACUUGUUUUGGGGAAUCUAGUGUUAUUUUUCAUAUCCAAACAUAAUAGAAUAAAGUAAGAAUAAAGAGAUAAUCUACACUGGAAAACAAUGCAAUUUUGAGAUAAUAUAAUAAAACACCUGGACAAUAUGAUUUCAUAAAUCUUAGUUCUAAAAUUUACAUGAGCUGGGCGUUGGGUUGGCUAUUUUAGGACAUGCAGCAUUUUCUAAAUGGAAACAUAACAUGAAAUACAAUUAAACAGCAAAAGGGAAGGCAUAUACAAAUUUAGCUUGCCCUGAGCAACUGAAUUCUACAGAACAAUGCAAAUAUUCCUACUUCAAAAGGUGCACUGGGUCAGUCAUAGGAAAUGUAGAGUUUUACUCUGGCAGUGACCAACAGCUUGUUUGCAGUUUUAUCAGAUUCAUUUUUAGGAGGCUUUUCACAUUCAGUGUAUCAUUCUGCGCUGAGGGUCUGAGGUGACACUGAAGUUGACAGCAAAACUUCCAACACCUUCAAACACAGACUAGAUGUGCUAUCACACACUGAAAAUAAAAUCUUCAGUAUUUGCUGGUGUUAUUGUGAUGUCCAGCCUCAAUUUAACUCCUGUAUUAGGCUCUGUGCCAUCUACUGAAUAGAUGGGCACGUAUAAUUUUGAAAUCUGAAAAGGAAUCUUUAACAUAUUGUAAAAGACAAAAACAACUUAAAUGCCUAGAAACUGAGACUAAUACUCUCAGGCUAGAAAGAAGAGGGGGAAUAUAGAAAAUUAAUUAAACAUCAGAGCAGUUGACAAAGGUGGUUUUUUUAACUCUUUAAGCCAAAGGCAGGAUAGGACAGAUGUCUUUCUAGACAUUGUGGUUCACUUCAGUCCCCAUAAUGUACAAAGAAACGUGUGAUUUCAUUUGUUACGUACAAGAUGAGGCUGGGAUCCACAGGAAAUCCUUUUGCAUCAUCACACCAGAAAAUUCAAUGAAAGCAGGAAAUUUUCUGUGUAGUCAACAGUGGAACAUUUGAUAGUGCAUGAAUACCAGAAACUAAGAUCAACUAGAACUACCCAUGCAAGAAGGGGAGGGAGGGAGGGAGGACCAUGUGAAUAAUCAAAUGCAAAGGUUACAGUCCUGCAGUUAGCCCUGCAGAUGGCCUUCACUCACACGCAAAGAUCAACUGCCUUCAGUGAUACCACUUGCAGCAGCUGCUGUAAAAAGUAUUUCAGGACCAGAUCUACAGAGAAGAAAUAAGAUUAAAUUAAUGCUGGAAAAGUGUAAACUGAUCCACCCAGAGGGAAAAAAUCUGAAAUGCAGAGUCUGAGCAACUGUCAAAGCAAAAUGAGAGGAUUCCAGAGCAGUGCAAAAGACAGGAAGCAGGGGAGAACAGGGACUGAUUUCAGAGGAUAUUAGAUGUUUAUCUUUUUAGCCAGGAGGCAAUAUAACAAUUAUUCAAACACAUUUCAAAGAAACAGGAAUCAUUUAUGUUAAAUCAGAAAGAAAUAAAUAGCAGUAAAUAAAAUAUAAAAGAAAUUCUUUGCCUUGGAAAAUAUUGUCAGUUUCUUCAUUAUAACAUUUAAAUACCAUGUGGAAAAUCUUGAUUUAUGAACUUUGAGUCAAUUUUCAGUUUACAAUUGGCAAAGCCUUCCUUGAUCUCAGAGAUGCAACUUUUACUGUAAGGUAUAGCCCUGUGACUGCAAAAAAUUUGCAUGGCUGAAAUAUUUUAGGUUUUGUUUUAAUUGCCCUUUUUAGGCUUUAACUUGAGGACACCAGUUAUACUCAGGUAGAACAGUACCCAAGAUGAUAAAAACCCAAAUUCUCCAGUUCUUCACUUGCACAGGGCCUUAGCACUUCACCCUUCUUCAGGGAGCACAGAUUUUAAUCUUCUACAGAUGAAAUGAAAUCCUUUUCAAGUACUAAGGCCCCACAUAAUAAUCUACAGCAACUCUUUUGUUUGUUGCUUCAUUUUCUGAGGUGAAUUUGAUAUGAACAACCCACUCACAAGUGAUGAGCCAACACACACAAAGGAACACAAGACAAGGCUUUCCUCCUCUAAGCUACCACUCUGAGUCUGGAUGAAGUCCCCAACAGCACCAAAAAUCACAGAGGAGAAUUUAACAUACGCUGAACUUGAACUUAUGAAGCCUAUUCAGGAAGCCAAAGGCAUUCCCAGUACAACAGUCUAUGCACAGAUACUCUUUGAGGAGAACAAGCUGUAAUAGUUCAUGCCUGUAUAAAUGUCCUUUGUGUUCUAUUUAAUUCUUGCUGUGCUGUUUAUUAAUAAAAAUCAUACAAAUGCC